rnacentral:rRNA from 1 species
AUUCCAGCUCCAAUAGCGUAUAUUAAAGUUGUUGCAGUUAAAAAGCUCGUAGUUGGAUUUCCGGCGUGAGGGAUCAGUCUGACUUCUAGUCAGUACUUGGUCCUCUCAUGCCGUCCUUGAAUGGUGCACCCUGGCAUUAAGUUGUCGGGGUGAGAGCCGUUCAUCGUUUACUGUGAGAAAAUUAGAGUGUUCAAAGCAGGCUUAUGCCGUUGAAUAUAUUAGCAUGGAAUAAUAGGAUAGGACUUUGGUACUAUUUUGUUGGUUUGAGAACCAAGGUAAUGAUCAAUAGGGACAGUUGGGGGUAUUCGUAUUCAGUUGUCAGAGGUGAAAUUCUUAGAUUUCCGGAAGACGAACUACUGCGAAAGCAUUUACCAAGGAUGUUUUCAUUA